GAGAGGUGCUUGCAGAAUGGGGACUUCCAGCCAGGGCCCUAGGACCCUAACCUGAUGCUCUGUCUACCCUUCAUGGUUUCUCAGUUGCCUGCUUGACCCUGGCCUUUGCCUUCCAGACCCUGACUGGGCCUCCCACACCCUUGGAGUGUUCAUCUGCCUGAGCUGCUCCGGAAUCCACCGGAACAUCCCCCAUGUCAGCAAGGUGAAGUCGGUCCGCCUGGAUACCUGGGAUGAGGCUCAAGUGGAGUUCAUGGCCUCCCACGGGAACGAUGCCGCCAGAGCCACCUACGAGGUCAGGGUGCCCUCCUUCUACUACCGGCCCUCCUUCUCCGACUGCCAACUCCUUCGAGAGCAGUGGAUCCGAGCCAAGUACGAGAGGAAUGAGUUCAUCUACCCUGAGAAGCAGGAGCCCUACUCGGCAGGGUACCGAGAAGGGUUCCUCUGGAAGCGAGGCCGCGACAACGGGCAGUUCUUAAGCCGCAAGUUUGUGCUGACGGAACGCGAGGGGGCCCUGAAGUACUUCAACAAGAAUGAUGCCAAGGAGCCCAAAGCCAUCAUGAAGAUUGAGCACCUCAAUGCCACCUUCCAGCCGGCCAAGAUCGGCCACCCCCAUGGCCUGCAGGUGACCUACCUGAAGGACAACAGCACUCGAAACAUCUUCGUCUACCACGAGGAUGCGAAGGAGAUCGUGGACUGGUUCAACGCGCUGCGGGCGGCCCGCUUCCACUACCUGCAGGUGGCCUUCCCAGGGGCCAGCGACGCAGAUCUGGUGCCCAAGCUGUCCCGGAACUACCUGAAGGAGGGCUACAUGGAAAAGACGGGGCCCAAGCAAACGGAAGGGUUCCGGAAGCGCUGGUUUACCAUGGACGACCGAAGGCUCAUGUACUUCAAGGACCCUCUGCCUCGUCCCACCUCAGGACGCCUUCGCCCGUGGGGAGGUCUUCAUCGGCAGCAAGGAGGGUGGCUACUCGGUGCUGGAGGGCCUCCCGCCAACCACCCAGGGCCACCACUGGGCCCACGGCGUCACCAUCGUCACACCCGACCGCAAGUUCCUGUUUGCCUGCGAGACAGAGGCUGACCGCCGGGAGUGGGUGGCCGCCUUCCAGAGCGUUGUAGACCGGCCCAUGCUGCCCCAGGAAUACGCAGUGGAGGCCCACUUCAAGCAUAAACCCUAGAGGACAGUGGGGGCAAGGACACUGGAGUCGCUGUGCUGUGGACUUCGAGGCAGCCAGACCGGGCAGCCUGCAGAGGGGGGUUCUGAGGAGCCCAGUGGUCUGGCCUGGCCCUGCUGUUGGGGGGAGCAGCUGUGCAGUGACCAGGUGGGCCCAGAACCCCUGCCCCUUGGCCUGAACCUCGGCCCUAGGACUCAUUCUCCUUGGCCUCACUGUGGGCCCCUUGGCUCUGGCCUGACCCCUGCCCAGCCAUGCUGCUCUGGCCAGACCCUCCUCCCCUCCCAGAUGUGCCCCCAACCUGCUGUCCUUCUUCCGAAGCCCGCCUGCCCUUCCCGAAGCCCCUCACGCACUCCGCCCGGCAGUCCUGUAGGGGGCGUGUGCAGUGUUUCCUGGCCUCCAGGCAGGGCACGGCCAGGCCCAUGGGGCGGCUUUCUGGGGACAGUGGGCAGGCCUGGCUCCACAUGGGAACUCAAGCUGCCCCUGCACCUACACUCCUCACCUGGUCCACCCUCAUGCUGCUGCCAGCUGUCCUCUGGUCCCUCCAGCCCUCUAGCCCUCCUCUAACAAGUAUUUAUUGGGCAACUGUGUGGUCAGUCACUGCGGGGAGAGGGGGACAAAGCAGACAGUCCUUGUCUCCAGGAGUUGGCACAGCUGGGGCAGUGUUGAGGGGCAGUUGGGGAAGCCGCACUGACAGGAGCUCCCGCAAUAGCCCUGGAGACCUGGCUGGGGGUGGGGGCAUGCAGAGGGACCCACGUGUCUGCCAAGGCCUGGUUGCUGGAGGCCUGCCCGGCUGCCCCCAUGGUGCUCCCGCUGACUGCUGACCCCGGCUCGGGCUGUGACCUUGCUGAUCUGAACCCUGGGCAAUGUGGCCUCUGCCCCAGGCCCCCAGCUUGCUGCUGGCCGGCCAGUAGCUGCAGCACUCCUGUAUUUAUUUUUCACCCUGACCCUUCCCGUGAGUGUCCGGGUGUCCAGGUGGGGCCCCAGAGCCCACCGUGUCUGGGCCACAUGCAGAGUGGAUUGGUCUCCUCAGCAGGGUCAUGUGGCCCGCAGGUGACCUGGUGGGCCCCAUGCCCCUCCCAGCCCUGCCUGGCCAAGACAUAGCCCUGCCCACUGUCCACGGUGCCUGGCAGCGGAGGGGACAGAACGGGGCUCUUGGCUGGGGUUUGUGGUCACCAUGUCACACCCGGAAUAAAGUUGUGGCUCCAGAGUGGUCUCCUGUGUG